rnacentral:rRNA from 1 species
UACAGAGGUCUCAAGCGUUGUUCGGAUUCAUUGGGCGUAAAGGGCGCGUAGGCGGCGGGGUAAGUCUGGUGUGAAAUCUCGGAGCUCAACUCCGAAAUUGCACUGGAUACUGCUCUGCUAGAGGGCUGGAGAGGAGAUCGGAAUUCACGGUGUAGCAGUGAAAUGCGUAGAUAUCGUGAGGAAGACCAGUGGCGAAGGCGGAUCUCUGGACAGCUCCUGACGCUGAGGCGCGAAGGCUAGGGGAGCAAGCGGG